rnacentral:rRNA from 1 species
GAUGAACGCUGGCGGCGUGCCUAAUACAUGCAAGUCGAGCGAACGGACGAGAAGCUUGCUUCUCUGAUGUUAGCGGCGGACGGGUGAGUAACACGUGGAUAACCUACCUAUAAGACUGGGAUAACUUCGGGAAACCGGAGCUAAUACCGGAUGAUAUUUUGAACCGCAUGGUUCAAAAGUGAAAGACGGUCUUGCUGUCACUUAUAGAUGGAUCCGCGCUGCAUUAGCUAGUUGGUAAGGUAACGGCUUACCAAGGCAACGAUGCAUAGCCGACCUGAGAGGGUGAUCGGCCACACUGGAACUGAGACACGGUCCAGACUCCUACGGGAGGCAGCAGUAGGGAAUCUUCCGCAGUGGGCGAAAGCCUGACGGAGCAACGCCGCGUGAGUGAUGAAGGUCUUCGGAUCGUAAAACUCUGUUAUUAGGGAAGAACAUAUGUGUAAGUAACUGUGCAUAUCUUGACGGUACCUAAUCAGAAAGCCACGGCUAACUACGUG